rnacentral:rRNA from 1 species
GACGAACGCUGGCGGCGUGCCUAACACAUGCAAGUCGAACGGGACCAGGGGGCAACUCUGGUUCAGUGGCGGACGGGUGCGUAACACGUGAGGAACAUGACCUUCGGCGGGGGAGUAGCCGGCCCAACGGCCGGGUAAUACCGCGUACGACCAUUUGGGGACAUCCUCGAGUGGUGAAAGCAGCAAUGCGCCGAUGGAGUGCCUCGCGGCCUAUCAGCUAGUUGGUGGGGUAACGGCUCACCAAGGCAACGACGGGUAGCUGGUCUGAGAGGAUGGCCAGCCACAUUGGGACUGAGACACGGCCCAGACUCCUACGGGGAGGCAGCAGGUGGGGAAUAUUGCACAAUGGGCGAAAGCCUGAUGCAGCGACGCCGCGUGAGGG